AACUCCGGGAACCGGAGCUAAUACCGGAUAGUUCCUUGAACCGCAUGGUUCAAGGAUGAAAGACGGUUUCGGCUGUCACUUACAGAUGGACCCGCGGCGCAUUAGCUAGUUGGUGAGGUAACGGCUCACCAAGGCGACGAUGCGUAGCCGACCUGAGAGGGUGAUCGGCCACACUGGGACUGAGACACGGCCCAGACUCCUACGGGAGGCAGCAGUAGGGAAUCUUCCGCAAUGGACGAAAGUCUGACGGAGCAACGCCGCGUGAGUGAUGAAGGUUUUCGGAUCGUAAAGCUCUGUUGUUAGGGAAGAACAAGUGCAAGAGUAACUGCUUGCACCUUGACGGUACCUAACCAGAAAGCCACGGCUAACUACGUGCCAGCAGCCGCGGUAAUACGUAGGUGGCAAGCGUUGUCCGGAAUUAUUGGGCGUAAAGGGCUCGCAGGCGGUUUCUUAAGUCUGAUGUGAAAGCCCCCGGCUCAACCGGGGAGGGUCAUUGGAAACUGGGAAACUUGAGUGCAGAAGAGGAGAGUGGAAUUCCACGUGUAGCGGUGAAAUGCGUAGAGAUGUGGAGGAACACCAGUGGCGAAGGCGACUCUCUGGUCUGUAACUGACGCUGAGGAGCGAAAGCGUGGGGAGCGAACAGGAUUAGAUACCCUGGUAGUCCACGCCGUAAACGAUGAGUGCUAAGUGUUAGGGGGUUUCCGCCCCUUAGUGCUGCAGCUAACGCAUUAAGCACUCCGCCUGGGGAGUACGGUCGCAAGACUGAAACUCAAAGGAAUUGACGGGGGCCCGCACAAGCGGUGGAGCAUGUGGUUUAAUUCGAAGCAACGCGAAGAACCUUACCAGGUCUUGACAUCCUCUGACAACCCUAGAGAUAGGGCUUUCCCUUCGGGGACAGAGUGACAGGUGGUGCAUGGUUGUCGUCAGCUCGUGUCGUGAGAUGUUGGGUUAAGUCCCGCAACGAGCGCAACCCUUGAUCUUAGUUGCCAGCAUUCAGUUGGGCACUCUAAGGUGACUGCCGGUGACAAACCGGAGGAAGGUGGGGAUGACGUCAAAUCAUCAUGCCCCUUAUGACCUGGGCUACACACGUGCUACAAUGGACAGAACAAAGGGCUGCGAGACCGCAAGGUUUAGCCAAUCCCACAAAUCUGUUCUCAGUU
rnacentral:rRNA from 1 species